rnacentral:misc_RNA from 1 species
AAGACUAUAGACCUGCGGAGUACCUGGGAGGGAUCAUUAGUGAACGCCCUCACGGGCUUAUAACUAUUCCAAACCUCUGUGAACCGUGCCCUUCGGGGCUAUUUUACAAACAUGGUGUAAUGAACGUCAUAUAUCAUAACAAAACAAAACUUUCAACAACGGAUCUCU